GACUAGCGAUCGCCAGGACAGAAGCGGGGGACCCACCUUUCCGCCGGACGUCGCCACCACGGUGGCCGUCCUUGGGGUGAAGUCGGCCGCGUGUAUCCGCGCGUCGACCGGGCUUCCCGGCCCGAACCCGACAGCUAACCUCGCAGGCGUAUGGGAAGGAUCA
rnacentral:sRNA from 2 species